rnacentral:rRNA from 1 species
GGGGGGCCUACGGGAGGCAGCAGUGGGGAAUAUUGGACAAUGGGCGCAAGCCUGAUCCAGCCAUACCGCGUGGGUGAAGAAGGCCUUCGGGUUGUAAAGCCCUUUUGUUGGGAAAGAAAUCCAGCUGGCUAAUACCCGGUUGGGAUGACGGUACCCAAAGAAUAAGCACCGGCUAACUUCGUGCCAGCAGCCGCGGUAAUACGAAGGGUGCAAGCGUUACUCGGAAUUACUGGGCGUAAAGCGUGCGUAGGUGGUCGUUUAAGUCCGUUGUGAAAGCCCUGGGCUCAACCUGGGAACUGCAGUGGAUACUGGGCGACUAGAAUGUGGUAGAGGGUAGCGGAAUUCCUGGUGUAGCAGUGAAAUGCGUAGAGAUCAGGAGGAACAUCCAUGGCGAAGGCAGCUACCUGGACCAACAUUGACACUGAGGCACGAAAGCGUGGGGAGCAAACAGGAUUAGAUACCCUGGUAGUCCACGCCCUAAACGAUGCGAACUGGA